rnacentral:rRNA from 1 species
GUCCACGCCCUAAACGAUGUCAACUGGUUGUUGGGAAUUCACUUUCUCAGUAACGAAGCUAACGCGUGAAGUUGACCGCCUGGGGAGUACGGCCGCAAGGUUGAAACUCAAAGGAAUUGACGGGACCCGCACAAGCGGUGGAUGAUGUGGUUUAAUUCGAUGCAACGCGAAAAACCUUACCCACCUUUGACAUGUACGGAAGUUGCCAGAGAUGGCUUCGUGCUCGAAAGAGAGCCGUAACACAGGUGCUGCAUGGCUGUCGU